GUUGAGCGAACCUUGUAUUGCAACGGAGAUUUGUUAGUGAACGUGUUAUCUCUGCUCUAUAAGGUGUCCGGCCGCCAUCCCCUAUUCACGUGCUUUUGUGUAUUGGAGAACCUGCUCAGCAAGCUGCAGUCUGCAACUUCUGCGGGAGCAAAAGCACAAGGGUGAAAGUCUUUGGUCCCCUUCCACUCCUGAGCAACAACAGCAGUGGCAUCUUCCCCUUCUUUCCCCUAAGGCUGUAGCUGCUCCAAACAAAGAUUGAGGCCACAGAGCGCAACACCCUCCUCACACACUCCCCAGGAUUGGACCCCCCAACUAGGCUCAGAUGGGAAAUCUAAGGAAAUCAAACAACCAUGGUUAAGAGAUGGGCAAUGGCGUUUCAAAUGAAGAUGCGAUCGAAUCAUCUGCAGAAAGUACAAAACAAUAAUUCAAUGUAAUUGUUUUGGUUUCAAACGCUUUGUUGUCUCUUUGUUGGCUCAUAGAAUUACUGUUAUGUCAUCAUCAUUCGUCAUCAUUACCAUACAUAACUUUACCAUCAUUUUCUGUAAAAACGUCUCUUGCCGGUGAAGCAGGGGAGUAAUCUACAGAAAGAACAAGAUAAGAAUUUAGGUUAUGUGUUUUUG
ensembl:lncRNA